rnacentral:rRNA from 1 species
UACGUAGGUCGCAAGCGUUGUCCGGAUUUACUGGGCGUAAAGAGCGCGCAGGCGGCUGGUCAAGUCCGAUGUGAAAUCAUCCCGGCGUCAACUGGGAAACUGCAUCGGAAACUGAUCGGCUUGAAGAUGGGAGAGGGUAGUGGAAUUCCCGGUGUAGUGGUGAAAUGCGUAGAUAUCGGGAGGAACACCAGUGGCGAAGGCGACUACCUGGCCCAUUCUUGACGCUGAGGCGCGAAAAGCUAGGGGAGCGAACCGGGAGUUAGAUACCCCAG